rnacentral:rRNA from 1 species
AUGGUCGCCGCGUGCAGUGGUGUGAUGGCCGUAUCCAGGGGUGAGGAGGCCACGUCCAAGGCCGCGUCCAGCGGCAUGGUGGCCUUGUCCAGCGCCACGGCGUCCAAAACGACGGAGGUGGUGCACGGCCCGGCGAAGUCGACGGCACCCGCCUACUCCAUGAUGGUGACGGGCGGCGCAACGACGACAGCGGCCAUCCUGGCCGAUGAGGCUGAGGAAGAAAGAAGCAAGGUUAGGCAUCUCACCAUCGGCGAGGCCUCUUGGUGCUCUCGGCAGAGCAUGCUGAUAUUGUGUUUUGAAUGA